rnacentral:rRNA from 1 species
UACGGGGGGAGCAAGCGUUGUUCGGAUUUACUGGGCGUAAAGGGCGCGUAGGCGGCCACCGCAAGUCGACUGUGAAAUCUCCGGGCUUAACCCGGAAAGGUCAGCCGAUACUGCGGGGCUAGAGUGCAGAAGGGGCAACUGGGAAUUCUCGGUGUAGCGGUGAAAUGCGUAGGAUAUCGAGAGGAACACCUGCGGCGAAGGCGGGUUGCUGGGCUGACACUGACGCUGAGGCGCGAAAGCUAGGGGAGCGAACGGG